AUUGAACGCUGGCGGCAUGCCUUACACAUGCAAGUCGAACGGUAACAGGUUAAGCUGACGAGUGGCGAACGGGUGAGUAAUGUAUCGGAACGUGCCCAGUCGUGGGGGAUAACUGCUCGAAAGAGCAGCUAAUACCGCAUACGACCUGAGGGUGAAAGCGGGGGAUCGCAAGACCUCGCGCGAUUGGAGCGGCCGAUAUCAGAUUAGGUAGUUGGUGAGGUAAAGGCUCACCAAGCCGACGAUCUGUAGCUGGUCUGAGAGGACGACCAGCCACACUGGGACUGAGACACGGACCAGACUCCUACGGGAGGCAGCAGUGGGGAAUGUUGGACAAUGGGCGCAAGCCUGAUCCAGCCAUGCCGCGUGCGGGAAGAAGGCCUUCGGGUUGUAAACCGCUUUUGUCAGGGAAGAAAAGGUUCUGGCUAAUACCUGGGACUCAUGACGGUACCUGAAGAAUAAGCACCGGCUAACUACGUG
rnacentral:rRNA from 1 species